rnacentral:rRNA from 1 species
CCGCACCUACGGGGGGCAGCAGUGGGGAAUAUUGCGCAAUGGGCGAAAGCCUGACGCAGCGACGCCGCGUGAGGGAUGAAGGUCUUCGGAUCGUAAACCUCUGUCAGCAGGGAAGAACGGUCACUGUGCUAAUCAGCAGUGAAUUGACGGUACCUGCAAAGGAAGCACCGGCUAACUCCGUGCCAGCAGCCGCGGUAAUACGGAGGGUGCGAGCGUUAAUCGGAAUUACUGGGCGUAAAGCGCUCGUAGGCGGGAAAGCAAGUCAGAUGUGAAAACCAUGGGCUCAACCUGUGGCCUGCAUUUGA